rnacentral:sRNA from 1 species
AAUGCCAUGCAUGUCAGAAGGGGGACCUAGUUUAGUCUCAGGAUUUACCAAGCCAGGUAAGCCUGCUCCCUCUCAGGAUAAUUAAUGCAACAAUUACAUAUUUUAAAAGAAGGGCAUUGAUUUUUUUUUUUGCCUCUUGUUUUUAAAAAUCCUAAGUCUCAUGUCAGUGGAUAUCAUAAAACUUAAAAACAAAUGCAAAUUGACUCACAAGAGUUGGAUAAUAUCUUGUGAUAACCUCUUUAAAAUGACUGUCUGUCUUUCUAGGUUGCAGGUUUGCUGGUGCUGGAUUAUAGUAAAGACUACAACCACUGGCUGGCUACUAAGAGUUUAGGGCAAUGGCUACAGGAAGAAAAGGUUCCUGCAAUUUAUGGAGUGGACACAAGAAUGCUGACUAAAAUAAUUCGGGAUAAGGUAUAAUCAUCAUCUUUAGCCAAAUCUAUG